rnacentral:tRNA from 1 species
GAGCGCGUAGUCCAACAGGCAGGAGACAGGGCACUUAAAAUGCUAACAGUGUGAGUUCGAAUCUCACCGCGCUUA